AGUCGGUCCCAAGGGUAUGGCUGUUCGCCAUUUAAAGUGGUACGCGAGCUGGGUUUAGAACGUCGUGAGACAGUUCGGUCCCUAUCUGCCGUGGGCGUUGGAAGAUUGAAGGGGGCUGCUCCUAGUACGAGAGGACCGGAGUGGACGAACCUCUGGUGUUCGGGUUGUGUCGCCAGACGCAUUGCCCGGUAGCUAAGUUCGGAAUCGAUAACCGCUGAAAGCAUCUAAGCGGGAAGCGAGCCCUGAGAUGAGUCUUCCCUGAUACUUUAAGUAUCCUAAAGGGUUGUCGGAGACUACGACGUUGAUAGGUCAGGUGUGUAAGUGCUGUGAGGCAUUGAGCUAACUGAUACUAAUUGCCCGUGAGGCUUAACCAUACAACACCCAAGG
rnacentral:rRNA from 1 species